UCCGGUUGAUCCCGCCGGAGGUCACCGCUAUUAGGAUACGAUUAAGCCAUGCGAGUCAAAGAGCAAUCUUGGCGCACCGCUCAGUAACACGUGGACAAUCUACCCUUCGGUGGGGGAUAAUCUUGGGAAACUGAGAAUAAUACCCCAUAGGUCUAGGAUGCUGGAAUGCUUCUAGACUGAAAGUUCCGGCGCCGAAGGAUGAGUCUGCGGCCUAUCAGGUUGUAGCAAGUGUAACGCACUUGUUAGCCUACAACGGGUACGGGCCAUGAGAGUGGUUGCCCGGAGAUGGACUCUGAGACAUGAGUCCAGGCCCUACGGGGCGCAGCAGGCGCGAAAACUUCGCAAUGUGCGCAAGCACGACGAGGGAAUCCUAAGUGCCUAUGCUUUGCAUAGGCUGUUCUCCUGUCUAAAAAACAGGGGGAGUAAGGGCUGGGUAAGACGGGUGCCAGCCGCCGCGGUAAUACCCGCAGCCCAAGUGGUGAUCGUUAUUAUUGGGUUUAAAAUGUCCGUAGCUGGUCUAGUAAAUUCCUGGGUAAAUCGAAUUGCUUAACAAUUCGAAUUCCGGGUAGACUGCUAGACUUGGGACCGGAAGAGGUCAGAAGUACUUCUGGGGUAGGGGUAAAAUCCUGUAAUCCUGGAGGGACUAUCAGUGGCGAAGGCGUCUGACUAGAACGGAUCCGACAGUAAGGGACGAAGCCCUGGGGCGCAAACGGGAUUAGAUACCCCGGUAGUCCAGGGUGUAAACGCUGUAGGCUUGGUGUUGGGGGUCCUAUGAGGACAUCCAGUGCCGGAGAGAAAUUGUUAAGCCUACUACCUGGGGAGUACGGUCGCAAGACUGAAACUUAAAGGAAUUGGCGGGGGAGCACCGCAACGGGUGGAGCGUGCGGUUUAAAUGGAUUCAACGCCGG
rnacentral:rRNA from 1 species